rnacentral:tRNA from 1 species
AGCCCGUUAGUGUAGUGGUCAAUCAUGCAGGACUCUGGAUCCUGCGACAGCAGUUCGAAUCUGUUACGGGCUA